UGCUGGGUGAUGGUAGCGGUGGCGGGGAUGAUGUCGUACUUCAGCCCGGAGAGAGCCCUCGGAGCCCCGCAGAGGGAAGAUGGUUCACUCCCCACAAUCGACUACGUUGAGUUUCUCAGACCAGAGCUGCCUCCCUCUCUCCUCCACCCUAUGUCGUCAUCCUCAUCUCUUGCUCUGGGCUCGUCUCCUUUGUCCUGCUGCUCCUGACCUGCCUGUGCUGUAAGAGAGGAGUGGGGUUCAAUGAGUUUGACAAUGCAGACGCGGAGGAAUGCUCCGGAGGCUCCAGUCCCAUCCAGGAGGACAGCCUGUCGUCAGGCGCCUCCCUCCCUGAGGUCUACACCCUGCCAGUCCGAGAGAGGCCCA